UAAUCUGAGCAGCGACGCCGCGUGCGUGAUGAAGGCCUUCGGGUUGUAAACCUCUUUUGUAAGGGAAGAUAAUGACUGUACCCUACGAAUAAGGUCCGGCUAACUUCACUAUGGGCCCCGCACCGCUACGAAGGGACCUGUGGUACGUUGGAAUUACUGGUUGUAAAGCGCGCGUUCGCCGGUGAUUUGUUUAAUUGUGAAAUCCCAAAGCUUAGCUUUGGAACUGCACUUAAAACUGCUCGACUAAAGUUUGAUAUGGGAAGGCGGAAUGCAUUUCGUGGAGGUGAAAUGGAUUGAUCUUAUGUAAAACGCCACUUGCAAAGGCGGCGUUCUGGAUCGGCACUGACGCUAAGGCGCGGAAGUAUGGGUUGCGGAGAGGAUUAGAUUCCCUCGUAUGCCAUUCCAUACCCUAUGAUGGCUAGACGUUGGAAAUUAAUUUUCAGUAUCUUCGCUAACGCAUUAAACAAUCCGCCUGGGGAGUACGACCGCUAGGAU
rnacentral:rRNA from 1 species